rnacentral:ncRNA from 1 species
UGUGGUGGAAUUCAAUAGCGUAAUUAACUUGACUAAUAAUGGGAUUAGUUUUUUAGCUAUUUAUAGCUAAUUAACACAAUCCCGGGGCGUUCUAUAUACUUAUGUAUAAUGUAUAUUUAUAUUAUUUAUGCCUCUAACUGGAACGUACCUUGAGCAUAUAUGCUGUGACCCGAAAGAUGGUGAACUAUACUUGAUCAGGUUGAAGUCAGGGGAAACCCUGAUGGAAGACCGAAACAGUUCUGACGUGCAAAUCGAUUGUCAGAAUUGAGUAUAGGGGCGAAAGACCAAUCGAACCAUCUAGUAGCUGGUUCCUUCCGAAGUUUCCCUCAGGAUAGCUGGUGCAUUUUAAUAUUAUAUAAAAUAAUCUUAUCUGGUAAAGCGAAUGAUUAGAGGCCUUAGGGUCGAAACGAUCUUAACCUAUUCUCAAACUUUAAAUGGGUAAGAACCUUAACUUUCUUGAUAUGAAGUUCAAGGUUAUGAUAUAAUGUGCCCAGUGGGCCACUUUUGGUAAGCAGAACUGGCGCUGUGGGAUGAACCAAACGUAAUGUUACGGUGCCCAAAUUAACAACUCAUGCAGAUACCAUGAAAGGCGUUGGUUGCUUAAAACAGCAGGACGGUGAUCAUGGAAGUCGAAAUCCGCUAAGGAGUGUGUAACAACUCACCUGCCGAAGCAACUAGCCCUUAAAAUGGAUGGCGCUUAAGUUGUAUACCUAUACAUUACCGCUAAAGUAGAUGAUUUAUAUUACUUGUGAUAUAAAUUUUGAAACUUUAGUGAGUAGGAAGGUACAAUGGUAUGCGUAGAAGUGUUUUGGCGUAAGCCUGCAUGGAGCUGCCAUUGGUACAGAUCUUGGUGGUAGUAACAAAUAACCGAAUGAGACCUUUGAAAGAACUGAAUGGAAAAAGGGUUU